CUCACUGCCAGAUGAUCAAUAGAGAAGGAGGGGCAGGAGGACAACAACAUAAGUUGGACCACAUGCCUGGUGGCAUGGAAGUACAAAAGAAAAAUAUCAAAUUCAUAUACUCUGCUCCGUCGCGGCUAUCUCAACUAUGGCGUGAGUGGACUGUUGGUGUUCAAAAGCGGCUUCGACUACUCCUCGACUUCGGUGUGCGGUCAGGCGUCUAGAGCCGGCGUAGGAUGGGGCGAAAUACCGGGUUGGCCUUGAGCUGGCAGUGGAUGUCCGCAGCAAGGUGGAUCCACUUAUAUAUCCAUGAUGUUGCCAUUACUUAAAACAAGAACAUCAUUACUAUGUAUUGUUGUAGGUAUAGGGUCACCCGGACAUCUGCAAUUUAGAUGAGAUGACAAGCUUUUAAAAAAGAUUUUUAUCUCAACGCGCAUGAACUGGACCAUUGGUAAUUUGUUGAUUUGCUUUCGGGGAAGUUAACUCUGGAUUUUUUUCUCCUGUUGCACCAGGGCGACCCAACUUGGUCAUUUUCAGGCCAUCUCUCUAGCUGCAUAGUCUGAUAUCUGGUCUCAUGGAAGAUGAUUCGUCUUGGGAGGCUCAUUCAUUUGAGCGCAUUAGAGUUCCUCCAUUCAACUUUCAAGUUGUUUCAGAGGCUAUCAAUGAAGGAAACUAACUCCCAUUUUCAUUGGACAAUGUUGAUAUCAUGGAGAAAAUUUUCACCUUCUUGCCAAUAACAAGCAUGAUUCAACAGCAGUAUGCAAUAGAUGGCAUGGUAUUAUCAACUCAAGCAGGUUUCUUUGGACGCACAUGUUGCCUCAGAGGCCAUGGUACGUCAUGUUCACCUCUAAUGAGACUGCUUCUGGGUAUGCUUAUGACCCCAUCCUCCGUAAAUGGUAUGAUUUAGAGCUUCAAUUCAUUGAUAAGAGCAGCUGUUUUGUCUCUUCUUCUAUACAUUGGCAUAUAGUCUUUAACUUCUAUUUCACGAAUUAUCUGUUUAUGCUAUACCUGGAAUAGAUUGCUCGUUAGAAUUUUUAUUGUCUUCCAUGUGAUUUUGGGUAGCCUCUGUAAAUCUUGUCCUGCUUAUUCUCAGGAGUUGUGACAGUUCAGCUGUGUGGUAAGUAAAUGGCUGGGGCAUAUAACAUAGAGCGCCAAUCUGUCCCAAGAUAUUGCUGUUUGUCCCGAUCGUUGUAGAAUUUGUGUAGUAAUUUGUAGGUAUCUGCUGGGAUCUGUGUGUAGGGUCUAUUACUGACUGCAUUGGUUUCUUUUAGGUUGACAGUGACUUGAGUUCCAUUUACUGGUGUAGGUUGUGUGUUGGUGAACGAGAGAGCAAGCUUUUUAGUCGCAUUGUAGAUGUAGAUGCUCCAUUUCUUACUGUCAAUGUGUAUAGCUUACUUUUAAAGCGUAAUACUCAGACAAUUCUUUUCAAGUCUUGAAGUAUAUAUCAUUGCAUUAGUUUUUAUCUUUGGAGCGUGUCUGAAAUUUCUUGAGGGCUUUUCUAUUUUCGUAUUAGUUUCCAUGGCCGUUUGUAAAAACACAAGGAAUAAUUCACUCAGGAAUAUGAACUGCAUGUAUAUGCAUUUAGUAGUGAAGCAGAUUUGGGGCACAUGGGCACGAGUACUCCCCAGUUUUUAAAAUAUUUAAAAAUUGUAAAUCUCCUUUUUUUAAAAUCGUCACAUAUAUUCCAUGACUACAAUGCAUGUCCUGAAUAUAUGGUUGUUCUAAUCCACGAGUCGGAGCUUCAGGUCUAUAAAAGAGGUCAAUGUACUGGCAGGUCGCAUCGGUCAUCUACUUUUCAAGCUCUUGUGAUAAUAUUGAUACAAUGCGGCAGUUUACGUAUCUAAAUGAGAUGGGUUUGAAAAUAGCUAGAGGUAAUCCACCAGACAAAGACUUAAUUAGAUUUUCCCCUACUUCCAGAUGACCAGCUGUGUAGAUUGAGAACGAAUGAGACUUGUUUUUUUUCGAAAUGGGGGAAAUAUCGCC